UGGGGAAUUUUGGACAAUGGGCGAAAGCCUGAUCCAGCAAUGCCGCGUGUGUGAAGAAGGCCUUCGGGUUGUAAAGCACUUUUGUCCGGAAAGAAAUCCUUGGCUCUAAUACAGUCGGGGGAUGACGGUACCGGAAGAAUAAGCACCGGCUAACUACGUGCCAGCAGCCGCGGUAAUACGUAGGGUGCAAGCGUUAAUCGGAAGUUACUGGGCGUAAAGCGUGCGCAGGCGGUUUGCUAAAGACCGAUGUGAAAUCCCCGGGCUCAACCUGGGAACUGCAUUGGUGACUGGCAGGCUAGAGUAUGGCAGAGGGGGGUAGAAUUCCACGUGUAGCAGUGAAAAUGCGUAGAGAUGUGGAGGAAUACCGAUGGCGAAGGCAGCCCCCUGGGCCAAAUACUGACGCUCAUGCACGAAAAGCGUGGGGAGCAAAACAGGAUUAGAUACCCUGGUAGUCCACGCCCUAAAACGAUGUCAACUAGUUGUUGGGGGAUUCAUUUCCUUAGUAACGUAGCUAACGCGUGAAGUUGACCGCCUGGGGAGUACGGUCGCAAAGAUUAAAAACUCAAAUGGAAUUGACGGGGGUCAUAGCUGUUUCCU
rnacentral:rRNA from 1 species